GACGAACGCUGGCGGCGUGCUUAACACAUGCAAGUCGAACGGAAAGGCCCCUUUGGGGGUACUCGAGUGGCGAACGGGUGCGUAACACGUGAGUAACCUGCCCUUGACUUCGGGAUAACUUCAGGAAACUGGGGCUAAUACCGGAUAGGAAUCCUUGCUGCAUGGUGGGGGUUGGAAAGCUUCGGCGGUUUUGGAUGGACUCGCGGCUUAUCAGCUUGUUGGUGGGGUAGUGGCUUACCAAGGCUUUGACGGGUAGCCGGCCUGAGAGGGCGACCGGCCACAUUGGGACUGAGAUACGGCCCAGACUCCUACGGGAGGCAGCAGUGGGGAAUAUUGCACAAUGGGCGGAAGACUGAUGCAGCAACGCCGCGUGCGGGAUGACGGCCUUCGGGUUGUAAACCGCUUUCAGCAGGGGCGAAGCUUGUGGUGACGGUACCUGCAGAAGAAGCACCGGCUAACUACGUG
rnacentral:rRNA from 1 species